rnacentral:rRNA from 1 species
UACGGAGGGUGCAAGCGUUAUCCGGAUUCACUGGGUUUAAAGGGUGUGUAGGCGGGUAUUUAAGUCAGUGGUGAAAUCUCCAGGCUCAACCUGGAAACUGCCAUUGAUACUAUUUAUCUUGAAUCCUGUUGAGGUGGGCGGAAUAUAUCAUGUAGCGGUGAAAUGCUUAGAUAUGAUAUAGAACACCGAUUGCGAAGGCAGCUCACUAAACAGGUAUUGACGCUGAGGCACGAAAGCGUGGGGGAUCAAACAGG